UGGGCUCGUGGUCUAGUUGGCUAUGACGUCGCCUUCACACGGCGAAGAUCUCGUGUUCGAAUCACGACGGGCCCAU
rnacentral:tRNA from 1 species